rnacentral:rRNA from 1 species
GACGAACGCUGGCUGCGUGCUUAACACAUGCAAGUCGAACGAAGUGGCGAACGGGUGAGUAACGCGUAAUCAACCUGCCCUUCAGAGGGGGACAACAGUUGGAAACGCCUGCUACUACCGCAUACUGAAGGAGGGGAUUGCGUCUGAUUCGCUAGUUGGAGGGGGAACGGCCCACCAGGGCGAUGAUCAGUAGCCGGGGUGAGAGGAUGAACGGGCAAAUUGGGACUGAGACACGGCCAAGAUGCUUACGGGAGGCAGCAGUGGGGAAUCUGCCGCAAUGGACGAAAGUCUGACGGAGCAACGCCGGGUGAGUGAUGACGGCCUUCGGGUUGUAAAGCGCUGUUAAUCGGGACGCGGUACCGGAAUAGAAAGCCACGGCUAACUACGUGCCAGCCGCCGCGGUAAUAC